rnacentral:tRNA from 2 species
GCCGAGGUGGCGGAAUUGGUAGACGCGCUAGCUUCAGGUGCUAGUUGGGGCAACCCAGUGAAGGUUCAAGUCCUUUCCUCGGUACCA